rnacentral:rRNA from 1 species
GAUGAACGCUAGCGGCAGGCUUAAUACAUGCAAGUCGAGGGGCAGCAUGAUUGUAGCAAUACAAUUGAUGGCGACCGGCAAACGGGUGCGGAACACGUACACAACCUUCCAAUAAGUGGGGAAUAGCCCAGAGAAAUUUGGAUUAAUACCCCGUAACAUAACGAUGUGGCAUCACAUUGUUAUUAUAGAUUUUUCGCUUAUUGAUGGGUGUGCGGCUGAUUAGAUAGUUGGCGGGGUAACGGCCCACCAAGUCUACGAUCAGUAGCUGAUGUGAGAGCAUGAUCAGCCACACGGGCACUGAGACACGGGCCCGACUCCUACGGGAGGCAGCAGUAAGGAAUAUUGGACAACGGACGCAAGUCUGAUCCAGCCAUGCCGCGUGAAGGAUUAAGGUCCUCUGGAUUGUAAACUUCUUUUAUAAGGGACGAAAAAAGGCUUUUCUAAGUCGUCUGACGGUACCUUAUGAAUAAGCACCGGCUAACUCCGUGCCAGCCGCCGCAGUAAAAC